CGUCUCCCCCACCUCCCCUAGCCUAAACUGUGCGCAUGCGCGAGGGGGAGAUUGACCACGUGCCGACCCUGGCAGGACCGGGCUGGCAGAGGGGAUACUGAGGCUCCGAGAGCCAAGGUCAGCCUCCAGAAGACCAUUACUUCGAAGCUGGUGGAGUUGGCUCUGUCGAGGACUUCCUGGUUGGUGAUUCGGUCCUGUCAUCGGAUCCUCAUGAUUGACCAGAGAGAGCGUUGGUGGAAUUGCUCCAGCUGUUUCAUGUGCUUCCGGUACAGUGUCCAUGUCUCGCAACCGUACAGGAGCGAGCUGAGGACCCCUGCGUUAUACACUUUGAGCUUCAUCGCAGUGCUUACACCGCUGUGUUGGAGGACUUUGCAGCGCAGUCGCCUGAGUGCCUGGCUGGCCUUUUGGAUCCUGGCAUUGAUUUCAUGGUCUAGGGACCUGUCUUGGCGAUGGUGCUGCCCAGGUACUUGAAAGUGUUGACAUUAGAAAGCUGAGUGCCGUUGAUAGUUACGCAGGGCUGGUUCGUUGGCCUCCCUGGUGCAGGUUGGAACAGCACCUCUGUUAUGCUGAGGCUGAUAGUCAAGCCAAACAGUUUUGUUGCGGUAGUGAACCUGUCCACAAUGGUUUGAAGAUGAUUUUCUUGGUGAGCCAUGAGAGCACAGUCAUCUGCGAAGAGAGCUACCAGGAUGAGUCUCUCUGUUGUCUUUGUUUUUUCAGUCAGGCGGCGAGGGUCGAAUAGUGAGCCAUCCAGUUGGUAUUUGAUGUAGAUGCCCAGGUCUAGAUCCAUCACAGCAUGUUGUAAUACUUGGGUGAAAAAUAGGUUGAAUAGCACCAGGGCAAGGACAGGGCCUUGUUUCACGCCACUGGAGAUGUUGAAGCGAUCGGAAGUCUCUCCACCAGAUAGGACUUCCCCUGUCAUAUCGACAUGAAAGAGCUGGAUCAGUUUGACGAAUUUUUCUGGGCAACCGAGCUUGCUGAGGAUCACCCACAGUGCGUCCCUGUUCACUGUGUCAAAUGCCUUUGUCAGGUCUAUGAAGACAAUGUAGAGACUCAGGUUCUGCUCAAGGCAUUUUCCCUGCAUUUGCCUCACCGUGAAGACCAUGUGGAUGGUGCUGCGAUCUGGUCGGAAGCCACAUUGUGAUUCAGACAGAUUCUGCUCUGAAACAGAUGACAGGAGUCUGUUGAGUAUAACAUGGGCAGUCCAUUACAUCCUAUUGUACCACAGUGUAUCAGUCUCUAUGUACAAUGUUUUCCUGGUUCUGUUCCUCUCGCUCUGCAUCAAUUCCUGGAGGUUGUUCCAGUCCCCAUGAAAUUCCUCCACUUUAUUAUUCCUUUUAGCACAAUAGUAUUCCAUCACUAACAUGUACCACAAUUUGUUCAGCCAUUCCCCAAUUGAAGGGCUUCCUCUCAUUUUCCAAUUUUUUGCCACCACAAAGAGCGCAGCUAUAAAUAUUUUUGUACAUGUCUUUUUGCUUAUUAUCUCUUUGGGGUACAAACCCAGCAGUGCUAUGGCUGGAUCAAAGGGCAGACAGUCUUUUAUCGCCCUUUGGGCAUAGUUCCAAAUUGCUCUCCAGAAUGGUUGGAUCAAUUCACAAUUCCAGCAGCAAUGUAUUAAUAUCCCAACUUUGCCACAUCCCCUCUAGCAUUCAUUACUUUCCUUUGCUGUCAUAUUAGCCAAUCUGCUAGGUGUGAGGUGGUACCUCAGAGUUGUUUUGAUUUGCAUCUCUGAUUAUGAGAUUUAGAACACUUUUUCAUGUGCUUAUUAAUAGUUUUGAUUUCUUAAACUGAAAAUUACCUAUUCAUGUCUCUUGCCCACUUAUCAAUUGGAGAAUGGCUUGAUUUUUUGGUACAAUUGGUUUAGCUCUUUAUAAAUUUGAGUAAUUAGACCUUUGUCAGAGGUUUCUGUAAUGAGGAUUGUUUCCUAAUUUGUUGCUUCCCUUCUAAUUUUGGAUGCAUUAGUUUUGUUUGUACAAAAACUUUUUAAUUUGAUGUAACCAAAAUUAUUGAUUUUACAUUUUGUGAUUUUUUUCUAGCUCUUUGCUUGGUUUUAAAGUCUUUUCUUUCCCAUAGAUCUGACAAGUAUACUAUUCUGUGUUCGCCUAAUUUGCUUAUAGUUUCCUUCUUUAUAUUCAGGUCAUUCACCCAUUCUGAGUUUAUCUUGGUGUAGGGUGUGAGAUGUUGAUCCAGACCUAAUCUCUCCCAUACUGUCUUCUAAUUUUCCCAGCAGUUUUUAUCAAAUAGUGGAUUUUGGUCCCCUAAACUGGGAUCUUUGGGCUUAUCAUUGACUGUCUUGCUGAGGUCAUUUACCCCAAGUCUAUUCUUCUAUGCUUCUAUGCGUCUAUGCUUCUCCUUUCUGUCUCUUAGCCAGUAUUAUAUUGAUGACCACUGCUUUAUAGUAUAGUUUGAGAUCUGGGACUGCAAGUCCUCCUUCCUUUGCAUUUUUUUCAUGAUUUCCUUGGUUAUCCUUGACCUUUUGAUCUUCCAAAUGAACUUUGUUAUGGUUUUCUCUAAAAAAGUUUUUUGGUAGUUCAAUGGGUAUGGUACUAAAUAAGUAAAUCAAUUUGGGUAGGAUUGCCAUUUUUAUUAUGUUAGCUCAUCCCACCCAUGAGUAAUCAAUGUUUUUCCAGUUGUUUAGAUCUAAUUUUAAUUGUGUGAAGAGUGUUUUGUAGUUGUGUUUAUAUAGUUCCUGUAUUUGUCUCGGCAGAUAGAUUCCUAAGUAAUUUAUAUUGUCUAGGGUGAUUUUAAAUGGUAUUUCUCUUUCUAAUUCUUGCUGCUGAUAUGGGUUGGAGAUAUAUAGAAAUGCUGAUGACUUAUACGGGUUUAUUUUGUAUCCUUCAACUUUGCUAAAGUUGUUGAUUAUUUUGACUAGCUUUUUUGGUUGAUUCUCUAGGAUUCUUUAAGUAGUGUAAAGAUUAAAAUUUAGGGGAGAUGGGGAGACUGAGGCAGGUAGAAAUUAGUUUCUCUCUGCAAGGAAUAUUAUAUUUUUUAGAGGUUUAUUAAAGGUUAAAGAUUAAAUAAUAUACAACUAAGAAACAUGUGCCUAGGCCAGAGGCCUAGACAAAAUAACCUCACAUCACACAAGAGACCGCCUGCUCCAAAACGGAAGUCCAAAAAGAGCCGAGAGAGAGCCCUCAAAAGCCUUUGAAUCAGCUUAAAUAUCUUCUAGAUCUCGGCCCAGGUGCGAUUACAAGGCAUUCUGGGGAAGUGGAGCAAAGGCUCGUGGGGAUUGUAGUCCUGUAUUCGAGUCUAUUUUUUACAGUAGAUCAUCAUAUCAUCCACAAAGAGCGAUAGCUUGUUCUCCUCCUUGCCAAUUUUAAUACCUUCAAUUUCUUUUUCUUCUCUAAUUGCUCCUGCUAGUGUUUCUAGUACAAUGUUAAAUAAUAGAGGUGAUAAUGGGCAUCCUUGUUUCACUCCUGAUAUUAUUGGGAAUGCAUCUAGAUUAUCCCCAUUGCAGAUGAUAUUUGCUGAUGGUUUUAGAUAUAUACUGUUUAUUAUUUUUAGGAAAGAUCCUUCUAUUCCUAUACUUUCUAGUGUUUUCAAUAGGAAUGGGUGUUGUAUUUUAUCAAAGGUUUUUUCUGCAUCUAUUGAGAUAAUCAUGUGAUUUUUGUCGGUUUGCUUGUUAAUAUGGUCAAUUAUGUGGAUGGUUUUCCUAAUAUUGAACCAUCCUUGCAUUCCUGGUAUGAAUCUUACCUGGUCAUAGUGAAUAACCCUUUGUGAUGACUUGCUGGAGUUUUUUUGCUAGUAUCCUAUUUAGGAUUUUUGCAUCUAUAUUCAUUAAGGAGAUUGAUCUAUAGUUUUCUUUCUCUGUUUUUGACCUGCCUGGCAUUGGGAUCAGUACCAUAUUUGUGUCGUAAAAUGAAUUUGGUAGAACUCCUUCUUUGCUUAUUUUGUCAAUUAGUUUGUAUAAUAUUGGGAUUAGUUGUUCUUUGAAUGUUUGAUAGAAUUCAUUUGUGAAUCCAUCAGGACCUGGGGAUUUUUUCUUAGGGAGUUCUUUGAUGGAUUGUUCAAUCUCUUUUUCUGAUAUGGGGAUAUUUAGGUAAUCCAUUUCUUCCUCUGUUAGACUAGGCAAUUUAUAUUUUUGUAAGUAUUCAUUCAUAUCACCUAGAUUGCCAUAUUUGUUGCCAUAUAGUUGGGCAUAAUAGUUUUUAGUGAUUGCCUUAAUUUCCUCUUCAUUAGAGGUGAGGUCUCCCUUUUUAUCUUGGAUACUGUCAAUUCGGUUUUCUUCUUUACUUUUUUUAAUUAGACUUACCAGUACUUUGUCUAUUUUAUUUGUUUUUUCAAAGUACCAGCUUCUAGUCUUAUUUAUUAAAUCAAUAGUUCUUUGACUUUUAAUCUUAUUAAUUUCUCCUUUGAUUUUUAGGAUCUCUAAUUUAGUCUUCAUCAGAGGAUUUUUAAUUUGUUCACUUUCUAGUUUUUUAAUUUGCAUGCCCAAUUCAUUGACCUCUGCCCUCCCUAAUUUGUUAAUAUAUGAACUCAAGGAUAUAAAUUUCCCCCUGAGUAUUACUGCUUUGGCUGCAUUCCAUAGGCUUUGAAAGGAUGUCUCAUCAUUGUCAUUUUCUUCAGUGAAGUUAUUAAUUGUUUCUAUGAUUUGUUCUUUAACUAACUGGUUUUGGAGAAUCGUAUUGUUUAAUUUCCAAUUAAUUUUUGAUUUACCUCUCCAUGUGCCCUUACUAAUUAUUAUUUUCAUUGCAUUGUGAUCUGAGAAGAUUGCAUUCAUUAUUUCUGCUCUUUUGCAUUUGUUUGCAAUAUUUUUAUGACAUAAUACAUGGCCAAUUUUUGUGAAUGUACCAUGUACUGCUGAAAAGAAGAUCUAUUCCUUUUUGUCCCUAUUUAUUUUUCUCCACAUAUCUACUAACUCUCAUUUUUCUAAUAUUUCAUUUACUUCUCUUACCUCUUCCUUAUUUAUUUUUUGGUUUGAUUUAUCUAGUUCGGAUAGAGGAAGGUCCAGGUCUCCCACUAGUAUAGUUUUUCUAUCUAUUUCAUCCUUGAGCUCCCCUAGUUUCUCCUUUAGAAAUUUGCAUGCUCUGCCAUUUGGUGCAUACAUAUUGAGUACUGAUAUUUCCUCAUUGUCUAUACUGCCUUUUCUCAGGAUGUAAUUACCUUCCCUGUCUCUUUUAACUAGAUUUAUUUUUACUUUGGCUUUGUCAGAUAUCAUGAUUGCGACUCCUACCUUCUUUUUGUCAGUUGAUGUCCAAUAGAUUUGGCUCCAUCCUCUUACUUUCACCCUAUGCAUAUCUACCUUCCUCAUGUAUGUUUCUUGUAGACAGCAUAUGGUAGGGUUUUGGAUUCUAAUCUACUCUGCUAUUUUCUUGCAUUUUAUGGGUGAGUUCAUUCCAAUCAAAUUCAGAAUUAUGAUUACUACUAUGAUUUCCCAGCAUUUUGAUUUCUACUCCUGGUCCUGCCUUUUCUUCUUUCACUAUUUCCUUCUACACCAAUGUUUGUUUUUAGUCAAUCCCCCUAGUUCCCAUCCUCAUUUUACAUUCCUUUCUACCCCCUCCCUUCUCAUUCCCCCCUUAUUUGCCUUGCAGUCUUUCUAAAACUACCUCCCACCCUCUCCCUCCCUUGUACUUCUUCCCUCCCCACCAGUCCAUUUGUUACACUUCUACUCCCCUAUAAGGUGCAAAUCUAUUCUCUGCCCCAAUGAAUUGGGUUGUUUUUCCCUCUGUGGGUCAAUUUCAAUGCACAUAAGAGUUGAGUAUUCCCUAUCUCCAACCUCUUUACCCUUCCAGUGUAUUGAUGUUCUCCCCCCCUCCCUCCACGAGCUUCUUUGUGACAUAUAAAUUUACCCCCUUUUGCUUCUUUUCCCAUUUCUUUUAGUAUUAACCUCUUUUUUUAGCUCUAGGUGUAUAUAUAAUAUAUAUACACUUGUAUAUUAUUUAUGCAUACAUAUGUCUAAAUACCUAUUUAUGUCUUGUCAUUUCAUUCUAUAGAGUUUGUCACUGUUCCCUCUAAGUGUAAUUCUUCUAGCUGCCCAAUUGAAAAUAACAAUUUUUAAGAGUUACCAAUGACCUUUAUUUUUAUAGGGAUACAUAUUUUAACUUAUUGGGUCUCUUUAAAAAAGUGUUUUUUUUCUUGUUUUUUUUCUCCUCCCCUCCCCCCUUUUAAAUUACCUUUUGAUGAUUCUCUUGAGUUCUGUGCUUGGGCAUCAAAUUUUCUGUUCAGGUCUGGUCUUUUCUUUAUAAAUUCUUGGAAUUCUUCUAUUUUGUUGAAUGACCAUACUUUCCCCUGUAAGAAUAUAGUCAGUUUUGCUGGGUAGUUGAUUCUUGGUUGUAGACCUAGUUCCCUUGCUUUCCAGAAUAUCAUAUUCCAUGCCUUUCAGUCCUUCAGUGUGGAAGCAGCCAGAUCCUGAGUUAUCCUCACUGUGGUUCCUUGGUAUCUGAAUGACUUCUUCUUGGCAGCUUGCAAUAUCUUUCUUUGUUUUGAUAGUUCUUGAAUUUGGCUAUAAUAUUCUUGGGUGUUGUCAGUUGGGGAUUAUGUACAUGAGGUGAUCUGUGGAGUCUUUAAAUCUCCACUUUUCCCUCUUGUUCUAGAAUAUCGGGGCAGUUUUCUUGAAUAAUUUCCUGUAGUAUGAUGUCCAGGUUUUUUCUUUUGUCAUGGUCUUCUGGUAGACCAAUGAUUAUUAAAUUGUCUCUCCUCGAAUGAUUUUCUAAAUCCUCUGUUUUGUGAAUGAGAUGCUUCAUAUUUUCCUCAAUUUUUUCAUUCUUUUGGUUUUGUUUUAUAGUUUCCUACUGCCUUGUGAGGUCACUUAAUUCUAGUUGUUGUAUUCUUGUUUUUAAAGACUGGAUUUCAUCCCUGAAUUUUUGGUCAUCUUUCUCAUUCUGGUCUGAUUUUCUUUGGAGGUCAUCUUUCAUUCUCUUUACCUCAUCUCUCAUCUCCUUUGCCUCCUCUUUCAUCUUCUUUGCCUCAUUUUCAAGCUGUUUGAUUUUGGCUUUCAAGACACUAUUUUCUGUUUCCAGAUGACUUAUCUUAAUUUUUAAAAUCUUUUCCCAAUUGUCUUCAGCCUCUUUUAAUUGUGUUUUGAAUUGCAUUUUGAGUUCUUCCAAAAUCUGUAUCCAAUUCGCUGGAUUUCUGUUUUAUUACUUGCCUGCCUGUGUAUUGUUUGUUCUUGGUUCAUUGCCUGUGCAGAAGCUGUCAAUUGUAAUUUCUUUCUUCUUUUUCUGUUGUUUGCUAAUAUUUAUCCCUUCUUUGCUCCCUGUAUUUUUCUGUGCUCUUGCUCCUCUCAUUUUUUUUGAUUUUGGGUCUUUCUGUCAGUUUCUCCUCUUGGAGCUUUGUCAGAUUUCUCAGUGCAGUCUCUGGGGGAGGAUUGUUGGAGUUUGAGAUUCCCUGUACUCUGAAGUCUUUUGAUGGAAUUAAGUUCAGCUGGGAUGGGUUGGAUGUGCUCUGAAGCCAAAACCUCCUGGAAGUCUGGAGCAAUAUGGACAGUGUCAGCCCUCCUGUCCAGGCUGCCAGCUCUUUGCUCCCUCUCCAGCUGCUUCCUUGCUGCCUGUGUUUGACACGCUGAGCUUGGCACAGCCCUGCCCACAAGGUACAUCCUCCAGACCAGAGCCUUUGCCCGCCCAGAGAUUCCUGCUCCCACUGGAGGCUUUGCACUCUAGGUGUGGGGGGGAAUGGGUCCUGGGACCUUCCUUCUGCCUUCCCCCUAAGCCUGAGUGUUCUUGGAUUUUGACUUUUGGAGGGGCAUACCUUUUGAAUUGAGUCCAGCAGGAGGGUUCCCCAGCUCUGUCUUGUUGUUAGAUUUGAUUUUCAGUCCCCUAGGAACAUUCAGUUUGUGAUCAGUAAGGAAGGAUUUUCAGAGGUCUGAGCUAUUGCUGCUCCUAAGCUGCCAUCUUGACUCCUCUCCCAGUUGAUGAAUUUUAAGAAUGAAUGAUGUUGGAGAUCUCUGAUGUCCUCUUGUAAUAUAAUACUGAACUUAACAAAGCACUCGCCAUCAGAGAAUCUCUAUAGUUUAUAGAUAAUUCAAUUUUAUUGCAGGCAUAUUAUAUAUGAUUAAAAUGACCUUAUUGGUGAAUAAACUAUUGGUUAAGGAGGUUGUUUGGUAACCUGUUGAAAAUGAUGCAGAAACUCACUUGUAGAUUGAAGUUUAGAAAUUAAAGGAUAGCCCUACAUUUUUUAACCUUUACCUUUCACCUUAGAAUCAAUACUAUGUAUGGGUUUGUGAAUUUUAGAUUUACGCCACGCUGCUUAGUCUAACAAAAGAGGAAUGGGAUAUUCCCUGGCGACCAAAUUAAUUUAGAUUAAGUCACAACCCUAAAAUUACCUUUACAGGUUCCAAGGCAGAAGAGUUGGAAGAGUCUGAGACCAGAUUUGAACCUAGUGCCUCCUGUCUCUUGUGAUAAUUAAAAUGUUUUGGGAGCAAGGGUAAUAUAUAACAAUCAUGACCACUGAAAUAUGUUUUCUACUAUGUCUUGGGUUUAUAUAAAUAUAAGAUGGUCACCAGGGAAUAUAUUCCCAAUUUAUGAAUAUGCCCAAGCCAACUGGGUUUUAUAGAGAAAUUUAAUUUAUAAUACACUGAUUAAUCAAUAGAAAAAGAGAGAAAGUAAGAAAGAAAUAAGAAUGAAUAAAUCAGUCAGUUGAUUUUAUCACUCACCCAAGAUCUCUCUAGGUAAGGCUUCUCAUGCCAACCUCAGGCUCCACCUUCAAGAGAGCCUCCUUUCAAGAAAUGUUUCAGAGAAUUCUCCUCCUGACUCCUCCUGAGUUCUCCUUCCACAGCCUCCUUCAAGACCUCUCCAGGAGCUCUCCCUCCAGGACCUCUCUCCUCUCAGACUCCUUCAGAGCAAAACCUCUCAGAGCAAAACCUCCGGCACUUCCCUCCUCAGAGCCAAACUUCUCAGAGCAAAAAACCCUCCUUCCCUCCUGUCCUCAGACCCCGCUAUCUUUAAGGAAACCAUCUAAGUUCCCUCCCCUCAGUUCUCACAUCUACCAAUCACUGUCGAUGUCUCCCCUGUGCCAAUGGUGGUUCUAGUUUAACCCAGGACCACCCAGAGGUCUGCCCCUUUGCACAUGACUGUUGAAGGUCAUAUUCUCAAAUAAUUAAAUCUUGAUCCUUUGCUGCAGCCCUUCCUAAAUCCUGUUACUCUGAGUAGGGUGGAGAUUGUAAGUUCCAAGACCUGGUUCUGUCAUUCCAAGUAUCUCUAUUGUAUCAAUUCUAAAAUCAAUCAUGACUCAAAGAACUUCCUGUUCUAUGCUUAAGCAUAGGUCAAAGCCCUUUCCAUUGUUUAGCAAAAGGUUUCUGUCCUAAAGUAAUCUUAAGUAGGGAGGAGAAAGAUCCUCCCAUGCCAAGAGGUUUCACAUUCCAAUAGAGUUCUUACUAUCAGUAGGAAUUUUUUUCCAAGUAUGAAAUUUCCCAAUGGUGAAAUUUCCAACAUUCAUAAGUCUAAGAAAUUUUAAGGUUUACACUCUAGGCCUGGCUCUCAAACCACUGAGCCACCCAGCUGCCCCCCUCCCCAUAGCCCUGAUUCUUAAAGGCUCUAUAUAGUGGGAAAUACAUAGUACCACCAAUCUCCCCAUUAUUUCUUUGUAGAAAGCAAAAAUUCAUGAAACACAAAUAGUCAUUGUAAUAUCUCCCAAUUCUUUAACACUAAUGGAGACACAAUGAUGACCUGUGGCUUCAAAAUUAGUCCAUUAAUGUAUAUUGGGGAGAAAGAGGGGAAGAGGGGCUCAGAUGAACAAACUGUUCUUUUGGCAUAAAAACAAUUAUCUCUGAAAACAAGGAAGAAUAGAAAGAAAGGUGAGUGACACCAAGGAAGGGUAAUCACACUGAGUAAAUUGAACCAGUUCACAUGGACUGAGGAGUGUCAAGGUAAUUCUAUAACCCUUGAUCUAGAUCCAUAGCAUGUACUUUGUUCCCCUUGUAGUUCAUAGGGCUGAUCCAACACAGCAAUUCACACAUUCCUGAACUCAAGGUUUGUUAAAAAGCAAAUAACACAAACCCCAAGUUAUUUUUUUAUUAUUUUUUGUAAGCCAUGAGUGAUUCCCCCCCCACAUGUUAGUAGCAACUUAUUUAUUAUUUAUUUAUUCAUUCAUUUAUUUAUUUAUUCAUUCAUUUAUUUAUUUAUUUAUUUAUUUUGGAUCCUCAAACCUGACAUUUGGAAUAAUUCUUUAAAAAAAAUUUCUUCCCCUGUCCCCCAUACCUCUGUUCUAUAAUGCAUAUAAUUUAAUUGCUGGUACAAAAGUUCUAGCAUCAAACAGGAGGACUUAUAUUUCAAGGAAUACUCUCCCUGAUUUUCUUUCUAUGUAUCUUGAGAUCAAGGUGAACUGUCUUCCUGCCAGACUGGCUUGAUAAACUGUUAACUUCAGAAUUAAUCAUUUCUAGCUUUCCCCCCAGACCAUCAUAAAAGAACUUCCUGAAGCAUAGCUGUUUGGGGGUGGAAGGAAUCCAGUCAGUUUCAGUUGAAAUUGAGACCAAAGAAAGGCCAACUAUUCUGAUGUGGAAUGAUAACUUGGUUAUUGUAGUGUUAGAAGCUGGGCUACCAAAAUGUUUUUAUUAUAAUUAUGGUAAAAUAUUCCCCACCUCCUUGAUACAAUCCCACCUUGGUUUAUGUGUCAUGUAUACAGAAGUUUGUGUGUAAAAGUUGGCUCUGGAGGGAGUGAAAGAGAAUAUGCAUGGGACAGAAUUGAGUGUGUUAUUCUGAAAAUGAGCAUUCAGCUUACAAAAACUCAUUUGUUACCUUUUUGUUGGUUGAAGUCUCCAGGACAGGUUUGGGAGGGAGACUGAUGAACAGAUGGGGAAAUGAACAGCUCUAUUGCUUCCCUUGCCUCACCUGAGGUGGGUUGGAAGCACAGGUGUUUUUGUGUUGGUCAAAGCCUGGGGGUAGGGGUGGUGUGGUCUGAUAGGGAGGCAGUGGGGAAAUCUUGUGUAUAUGUUGACUGCUUGCUCCCUUGGCACUCCUUAGCCCAUCAUUGGAGGGCUCUCUUUCAUGAAGGGGAAUGAACAUCUGCCUCCUUUUACUCCUGUCUUCUGACUCUGAUUUUGUUUAUUUGAGUGAGGGGGCACUUAUAAUCAAUUUUUAUCCCACACAAAUAGAACUAGGGGUGAGUAGAACUGGGUUCUGUCAACUGCAUUUAUGGAACCCUCUAAGUUUGCCUGUGUCCCCUGGGUAACUUGCCUUGCCUUAAGGGAAGUCCCAGGCUGACCUUAUCUUAGACUGAGUAAUAAACCUUAACGUACCCAAUGAUCUCAGUUUAGACAGAAUUAGUAGAUAUAACCAAAUCUUAAGUACCCUUAGGGUUUUUUUUUCCAUUGAAUCAGAGGCUUCUCCCAAGUAGUCCAGCCCAAGGCUGGAAUCAUCCUUUCCUUGUAUCCAUUGUAAAGUAUUAACUUCCCCCAGGCUGGACUCCUUCUCUUGUGUCCAUUGUAAAGCCAAUCAAAUGAACCUUCAGGUCCUAUAUUCCCCCUGAAGUUUAUAAGACCCAAGUUCUUCAGUUUACUGGAAAAUCUCCUUUGGCAGUAUGUUUUCCUAGGGACAUUGUUUCCAGAGUCCCAGUGCUUUGGCUCUUUGUGGUAUUUAGCACUUGACUGUGUGGUGGCCAAAUCUUGAGCUUUGUUUCUCUUGUCCUGAAUAAAGACUUAUUCUUUC